UCCCAAAACUGGCCACUCUGUUAAUGA
rnacentral:piRNA from 1 species